AAAGUAUUAUGAAGGAAGACUAUGAACAAUUCCAUGCCAACAAAUUAGAUUACCCAGAUGAAAUGGACAAAUCCUAGAAAAACACAAACUACCAAAAC